rnacentral:rRNA from 1 species
AAUCAACGCUGGCGGCGUGCCUAACACAUGCAAGUCGAACGCGAAAAGGGCUUCGGCUCUUAGUAGAGUGGCGAACGGGUGAGUAACACGUGGGUGACCUACCUUUGAAUGGGGGAUAACGUCCCGAAAGGGACGCUAAUACCGCAUAACAUCCUGCCUUUGAACAGGUGGAGAUCAAAGCCGGGGAUCGCAAGACCUGGCGUUUGGAGAGGGGCCCGCGUCUGAUUAGCUAGUUGGUGAGGAACGGCCACCAAGGCGACGAUCAGUAUCCGGCCUGAGAGGGCGGACGGACACACUGGGACUGAGACACGGCCCAGACUCCUACGGGAGGCAGCAGUGGGGAAUUGUUCGCAAUGGGCGCAAGCCUGACGACGCAACGCCGCGUGGAGGAUGAAGGUCUUCGGAUUGUAAACUCCUGUUGC